rnacentral:lncRNA from 1 species
ACAGAUGAGGAGCCAUCAGAAGAGUUCAGCUAACACAGCUUAGGCCUAUUUCAUCAUCCCACCAAACAAAAAGAUAGCCUGCUUCACGCUUGACAGAUCAAGGAAGGAAGAGGUGGAGGAGAUGACAGAACAAGAUCUACUGAAAAGACAUCCACGACCUGGUGGCAGGUGCCCAAGCCAUGUGCUCCCAAUACCCACAACUGGAGUCUUUUUGCUGAAGAGACCUAUGAUGAACACAACUAAAUCAUAGGAAUCCAGGACUCCCCACUUGAAGGAUACUGAACUAGGGUGGAAAUUACCUCUACACCCCGAUUGCAUCUCCACUAUCCCUGGCCCAUUCCUCUGCUUUCCUUUUUGCAACACAGAGGUAAUAGCCUACCAUGGAAGGGAAGCCAUGACAGAAUUGACACUGCAGUGGGGAGUCCAGGCUGCUGGAACCUGAGAAUCGAAAUCCCACAAGCCUAUGUUCAGCUACCUGCUUCUGCCACCAAUUUCUCAUCUUCAAAAGGCUCCCUAAACGCCCAAAACAGUUCAAAGCAACUAAGGAUCAACUGAUGAAACAUUUGUCCUUACGGUGGAUAUCCCAUGACAAAAAAUUUAUAUUAACAAGACAACAGUUUUACAAGUUGGUGGUUGUGACACUGUUGGGUUUUGACUUUAAAGUAGGGUGUUACUAUAGCCCAGACUGGUCUUGAAUACACAAUGUAGCCCAGCAUAGGCUGACCUGGAAGUCAUGGAAGUCCUCCUGCCACCUCUUUUCAAUUGUUGGAAAUGUAUGUGUAAAUGUUGAAAUUAUAAGCACUAUGCUUGGCUUAAGACAACCUUCAUUAUCUCACAUUCCCUUCCCUGAUUCUGUCAUAACUUGUAUUGCCACACUCCACCCCAAAAGACCCAUCUCCUUACCUGUUCCCAGAUCUAAAUGCUGGAUGAGCAGCAAUGAUAUGGAUCAGUUCACACCAGACACACUAGAUGAUUAUAUUCUCCUAAUUGUUGGCACUAUCUUUCUCAAGUACCUAAUUAAAUAUGGUUUUCCUCUUGUC